ACGCGAGGAGAGGGGGCAGGCAUCCUGAGGGUGCGGGGUUUACAAGGAGACUGCACAGGGGAGGUGCUCAAGCGCAGGCGCAGGCGCAGGCGCAGGCGCAACGCGGGUCCCUGGGAAGCCCAGGCCCCCCAGCCCUCUGCCGAGCGCAUCAGCUUCGCAGAAGGGCGGGAGACCACGAGGGACACGCCGGACUCCAGAAAGAAAAAAAGCUGCUACGACUCCCCUGUCUUAAUCCAGCCCAGAUCUCAGUGGAAACCUAACACCACUCUAGUGACCCUGGAACUGCACCAGUGCCUCACAUCACCAAAUAAGCCUGGAUCCCGAAACCCAGCUAGCAAGAAGCUGUUGACUGGGGAGACAGGUCAACUUCCAAGUGUCAUUCAGCCAGGAGUCUUCCCACCUACAGAAACCAGCAACUAAAGGAACUAUUCCACAUUGGACUCCCAUUGCCUCUCUACUUUAUUCAUGUUUAAUGCAACUUGUGUCUGAUUGAACCCGUACACCUUGUGCCUGCCCUGGAUUCAUCCUUCUCCAGAAGCACUUGCCACUGGGUCAACUCUUCCAGGACUGAUCCUGUUAAAUACUCUUGGAGCAGUUAACGCUGCCUUGUGGCUACCGGGAUUGUCUGUUCUGGCUAAAUCCUCAGGAUCUGCCUAUGAAAAAUAUGAAGGAAAGCACCUGCAUACUUUGCUCUAGGAAUGCAGAAUUGUGCAAGAGUCUAAAAGACAGGGAAAAAGAAGAGCCACAAGACUAUUCCUGAUCCUGGAGAUAGAAUGAUACAGCCUAGAGAAUGGAUCUUCUCUCAUUACAGCUGAAUUCCUGGAAAAUGGCCCUAAUCUUCCACUUUGAAGGACUCACCCCCAAAACACAGAGCAGAGCUUUCUGGAAUUCCUAUUGUGUGGAUUUGUGCGGAGAGAAAUCAUCUGAGAGACGUCUGGAGUGCAAUGAAAGCAAUGACAAUGUUUUCUCGAUUGUUUAUGCAUAGCUCAAUCCACAUUAUUUCUGGAAGAAAAGAAAAAAAGAAAAAAAAAGAAUAAAGAAAAAGAAAACAAUGCAUUUCCCUUCAAUCCACAUGGAUUUAAAACUGGAGAUGUAAUUUAAAAAAACAGAAGCAAAAAACAAAAAACAAAACCAGAAACUGGUCUUUCCAACUAAUAAAAAAGGAACUCAGUGCUGUGCUCACAGCAAAGUUGUGGAAGAUAAUUUGAAACUUCAGUUAGCUUCCUGUAGAGAAAAAUAACAACCACCAAACUAAUGGGUAAUCAAUGGCCAAUUGCCUCAGAAAAGAGGCGCCCCACAGAAUUCCCUAGAAAUUAAUGUGCUGCAUAGGAGGCAUUGGAAAAUAUCUUAAGACUAUCCUAGUGAGCCCACCUUUCUUAACAAAUAAGUAAGGUCUAGGGUGCUAUCUUUGCUAAUAAAGACCUGGAGACGAAAUGCGGUCUUCAUUUAAGUUUCCAUGUGCUGUUCUCUGAACCACUAUAUUAAAAACAAUCUUCCCCCAUGAUUUCUAGUGCUGUAGUGGAGUAUAGUUUAUGUGAAAGUAAAUCUGGAAAGAUUACCUUUCAAAACUGCCAGAUGCUUCGCAUUUUCUGGUAGAAAUCUGGAUUCUAGGUCUGUAAUGAUAUUUCCUGCUGUGCUCAACACUCAAUCAGAACGUACGCUUCUUGGAGGGCAAUAUAAGGAUUCCAAGGCUAACUUGGUCGUUUGGCUUUUAUAUUUUUCCAAUCCAGCUGGGGGGUAUAAAUUUAAAUUUUGGGCCUCCCAAGCUAAACUUCAGAAGGGGUCUUUGUUAAUUUUAGAUCUCCUGCAGUUGAAACCCCUCCUUGCAUAAACUUUCCCAUGCAGUGCAGUUUAUGAUUAUAUUUAUACCAAUGAAUAAAACAUACCUUAAAAAAAAAGAAAACUAAAUUACGGCAUUAAUGAUACAGGAAUGUAUGGAUUCUCAUUGCCCUUGGCUCUCCCAUGUUUAGAUUCAAGUUCCUUCCUCUACCUAGUUUGAAUUACAUUAGUGUCCCCUUCCCUCUCUUCCUUCAUCCAUCUUAUACAUUCUUUAAUAGGGUAUCAUGGUUCUAAGCACAUACUCUGAAGUGUAUAAGACCAUGGUUAGGAUUUUGGCUCUUUCAUUUUAAAUCUGUUGGACUUUGGGGAUGAUUAACCUAAUUUCUCUGAUCAGUGGUGUGCUCGUCUGCAAAAUGGGGCUAAUAAUAGCAUCUACUUCUUAGCAUUAUUGUGAGAAUUAAGAGAAAUAAUAUAGAGAGAGCACUUAGCACAGUGCUGCACAGAGCACACGUAUCAGUUAAUGUUAGCUGCUUUCCCUAACCAGGGGACAGCCUUACAGAGACGCAACAUUGCGGGGGUGGGGGGUACUCUUGCACCUGCUUGCCUUGGUUCAAAUCCCUGCUUUAGUGCACUCUACAUGUGCCACCUUACACAGCUAUCAACAUCUUUGUGUCUCAGUUCCCUCAUUUCAAAAAUGAGAAUGAUAGUAGUACCUAUCUCAUGAAGCUAUUGUGAAGAUUAAGCGGAUUAAUGAUUGGUCAAUAGUGAGUUCUAUAUAUGUUCAUUAAAUAAACCUGUUAAAUAUUUGGUCCAACUCAAUUUGGUCCAGACUCUUCCCCACCCUACUGCUAUUCAUCCAUUCCUCACAGUGCUUCUCUUAAAACUCUGGGCAUUUACCUAAACAGGCUCGACACCAUACAAUAGUGUCGCCUGAACCAGAGGUGACUGGUGAGGCAAGCAGGUCAUUGAAGGCAAGCAAGCUAGCCUGGAGGUUAUGCAGUCACGCACUGUAGGCUGAUAAGAGCUGCUUAGCUCUGGGGAUUCUUAUUUUGUAACACCAUUUUUUUCAUCCAAGGACCUUCAUUGUUUUCCGGGCUCUCAUCCUAUAAAGUACUGCACAUAGAAGGUCUAGAUCCCUUACUACUGAAAUGCUUCUUGUGGUACUUCCAGCCUAGACACACUGGGCCUCAAAAACCUUGCUGAGGUUUAUAAAGGCAAGUCUGGAGCAUUGUACUUCUCUGCCAUUUCCCUGCUUGUAAAUUGCACCUCAUAUACCUUUGUAUAUAUUUGUAUCAUAUUAGUAUCUCUGUCAUCUUUGAAUGACGGUUGUAUCAUGAUUUGUCUAAAUAUAUGUGUAUUAUUUUCCUAGUUAGCCAGAGAAUUCCUCAGGAAUACCUGACAUGAUGCAUGACCUCAAAGCCUGGCACUAUCCUUAGACUGUCACAGGUACUCAGUAUACUUUUGUGUUUGGAUAAUCCUGAUAAAACCAGUGAGAGUUAAAUUUGGUUAUAAGUCUCAGAAAAAAAAAAUGACCAUGGUUUAACUAAGAUAAUAGAUUUCCCUCUUACCCUCAAAAAAGAUGUAGACUAAGGUCGGUGUGAUGGCCCAGAGUGCCAUAUUGGUUCCUUCUGUGUCAUUCCUUUGACUUCAGAUCAUGGCUCUAGCUCCUGAGAUCAUCUCAUGGUCCAAGAAACUGUUGAAACCCCAGCCAUUGUUUUCCCAUCACAGAAAACAGAAAGGUAAAAGGGGAGAAUACCUCACUUGAGGAGAACUUGCUGGUAGUUGAACACUAGGCACAUUUGUCAGCAUUCCAUUGGCUAAUGGACCACGCAUAGCUGCAAGGAAGAUGGAGAUGAGGAAGUAUGGUCUUUGUCCUCGGUGGUGAUGAGUCCUGCUAAAAGUCACAAUUUGAUGACUAAAGAAGAAUGGGAGAAUAGACACUGGGGAUGACCCUCCUGCUCUGCCCUAGCUGCCAUGGCUUUUUAGUUCCUGGUUCCAGAUCCUUCCCAUUUCCCGAUCGUUUUGCUUUCUGUUCACAAAAAGAAAUCACUUUGAUUUCUGUGAUUAAAUGUAACCAAAGAAGUCUAAGCAGCAAGCAACAUAUCCACGUAACCAUGGACAAUUUACCUUAUGUUUAUUGAUUUUUCAGAAUUGGCAACAUAUUACCUAGCCCUUUGCCUAUGUUUGCUAUGCAGAGUUGUAAAAAGUGGAAAAAAAUAAUAAUACCCAAUGCUAUAUACUAGGGACCCGGAGAUACCUAUUUUAAUCCUUACACCAAUCCUAUGGAGCAGAUUUCAUUACUUACAUAUAAAGAUAAAGAAACUGAGGAGGUUAAAGUAUGCCUCAGCCAUACUGUUGCUGAUGAGCAUAACUGGGAUUGGAGUCCAGGGCAUUCCAACGCCUGCAUGCACUGUGUAACCUCUUUGCAAUGCUUAAUAAAAGUUAACUGUUGAACUGUGCCGUAAAUCUUGUAGACGUAGUUCUGCAUCCUACCCAUUUUAAUUAUCUGAUAUGUGAUUAUUUUUCUUGAUGACAAUUUUACGUAUUCUUUGCACAGCACAGCAACAUAUGGAAAUCUGACAUGAUAACAUAUACCUUUUAGGAAUGAAGGCUUAAUAAAUCAUCUCAAAAUUUCUCACAGUUUUGUUGCUCUUACCAUUAGAACGUUCUUUAUUCAAAGUUUGUGUCUUCUAGAUCGUAGAGUGAAUUAGAGGCAUCCUUUCCCUCUUGAUUUUCCUGCUAUACUCUAGCAUGGUGAGAAUGAGCUAGAACAGAUCAUUUAAGCUCUCAGAGCUAUGCUUAGAAGGACCAGAGCACAUGGAGCAUAAUAAUUCAUUGCCAUAGUUGCUUACUCAGCAUUUUGUGAGAUGCAAAUUCUCUUCAAAACUGUUCUCUAUUAUCACCCUUUGGUGUGACCAUGUUAAAAAUGAAAAAUGAAAAUAGUGUUCCAGAGGAGCGGGGGGAAGGCUUGAGUUUCAAAAUAAAGGGAUAUGGAGGGGCAUCUGGGUGGCUCAGUUGGUUAAGCAUCCGACUUUGGCUUAGGUCAUGAUAUCGCGCUUCAUGGGUCCAAGCCC